rnacentral:rRNA from 1 species
UACGAAGGGGGCUAGCGUUGCUCGGAAUCACUGGGCGUAAAGGGCGCGUAGGCGGCCAUUCAAGUCGGAGGUGAAAGCCCAGGGCUCAACCCUGGAAUUGCCUUCGAUACUGUCUGGCUAGAGACCGGAAGAGGUAAGUGGAACUGCGAGUGUAGAGGUGAAAUUCGUAGAUAUUCGCAGGAACACCAGUGGCGAAGGCGGCUUACUGGUCCGGUUCUGACGCUGAGGCGCGAAAGCGUGGGGAGCAAACAGG